UCGCCUGUUUAUCAAAAACAUCGCCUCUUGAAAAAUAUAAGAGGUCCAGCCUGCCCAGUGACUCUGUUCAACGGCCGCGGUAUCCUAACCGUGCGAAGGUAGCGUAAUCACUUGUUCUUUAAAUGAGGACUAGUAUGAAAGGCAUCACGAGGGUUAUACUGUCUCCUUUUUCUAAUUAGUGAAACUAAUCUCCUCGUGAAGAAGCGGGGAUUAUACUAUAAGACGAGAAGACCCUAUGGAGCUUUAAAUAAUGUAACAAUUGCUACUUUAUCUUUACUUACCUUAUAACAUCUAGCAACAUGAUUACUAAUUUUUGGUUGGGGUGACCGCGGAGCACAAAAUAACCUCCACAUUGAAAGGAAGAUACUCCUAAGCUAAAAGCAACAACUUUAAGCAUCAAUAAAUUGACAUUAAUUGACCCAAUAUAUUUGAUCAACGAACCAAGUUACCCUAGGGAUAACAGCGCAAUCUACUUUAAGAGCCCAUAUCGACAAGUAGGUUUACGACCUCGAUGUUGGAUCAGGGUAUCCCAGUGGUGCAGCCGCUACUAAAGGUUCGUUUGUUCAACGAUUAAAACCCUACGUGAUCUGAGUUCAGACGGGA
rnacentral:rRNA from 1 species